AGGGCAAUGAUGAAGCGCUGUGGAGUUAUGCUGUGGACCCCAGGUCUGCCACUAACAGCCGGAAGCAGCCAAGGGCCAGGAGGCCCAAGACUCAGGUUUCUUUCUUCUACAAUUUAUCAAGCCCACGUAAACUGGAAUGAUCUUCAAACACUGGCUUCUGUACGAUACCUUUUUGUCUGAGACUGCAAAGUGGUGGCUCACCUGUCGCCUUCAGGGGAGCAGUCGGGCCAGCAGAAACUCCCGCAGAAUCCCGGACUCCAGCUGCUGCUCUCAGGAAGGUGAAUGUGUAGAUGCCCUGAACCACCACUUGCCCAUUUUCUUUCUGGAGAA